rnacentral:rRNA from 1 species
UACGGAGGAUCCAAGCGUUAUCCGGAAUCAUUGGGUUUAAAGGGUCCGUAGGCGGUUUUGUAAGCCAGAUGUGAAAUCCCCGGGCUUAACCUGGGAAUGGCAUUUGGGACUGCAAGGCUUGAGUGCGGCAGAGGAGACUGGAAUUCCUGGUGUAGCAGUGAAAUGCGUAGAUAUCAGGAGGAACACCGAUGGCGAAGGCAGGUCUCUGGGCUGACACUGACGCUCAUGCACGAAAGCGUGGGGAGCAAACAGG